CCUAUAUGAUGGUUUUAUUUAAAACAAUAUGUAUUUACUUUCCUUUAUCUUGCAACAUUCCAUUGUGUAAGGCGGCAUCUCCCAGCAUUAGUCCACAAGGUACAGAUUAUUUUGUUUUCUAUAUAAAAAAUACAUUAUAAUGUACCUUGCUCAUUUAAUCAUAUAUUCCUCUAUUUCCACCCUCUAUUUAUGCCAGCACCAUUCUUAAAGAAUAAACAAGGUUUUGGAGCUUAAUUAAAUAAAAAUAAAUAUUACAGUAACAAUUUAUUUGUUGUUUUUUUCUCAGGCAAAAGAAAAAAUCCUGACACCUUCCCUUCAACCAGUACACCACCAAAGCAACAGUGUUUUCCCAAACCUUCACAACCAACCUCUAAAUUCGAGAUACCACAACUCAAACAAGUUCUGGAGGAUAUGAAUGAGAGACACACAAAGACUGCAAUUAGAGACUAUGUAUCUGGAGUCUAUGGGAUCCUCUCGUUGAUCAAAGCAGCCAACUCCAACGACAUGACGAUGGUAUGACAUGCAAAAAUCUAUCUAGUGAAAGUAAGUCAUGAAUGAAGUGUCCUUCUUAGAUUGUGUGUCUUGUGUCUUAGGUUGAGACGAAAUCAAACAUGUACCAACUGCUAAAGGAUUCACUGGAGGAGCAGCUUUCUACCAUCACAUCCCUCAUGACAACACAUUACGAUGACCUUAAAAAACUCCUGUCAGAGUAAGUUGCCAAGUCAGAAAAGUCAUGCUU
rnacentral:lncRNA from 8 species